ensembl:lncRNA
AUGAUGGAAGAAAAGCCCGGGAUUUUAGACUUCAGAACCUGGAGCCACCUUGAAAUCCAGGAGGAGCAGGCUCUCCAGGGACCCAGGUGGGGAGACUCCAACAGGACGUGUCCGAAGAUCGGGUCAUGGAAGGAAAUUGAGACUUUCCAGCAGAGAUUCUGGGAAAUCCCUUUCCCAGCAAAGUGGUUUCAGGAGGAUGAUUGUCUUUGGAAACGCAACCUCAUUUGGGAAGGGAGUCCAUAAAUGUCUCCUUUUGGGAGACCUUAGGAGCCUUGAGAUCAUGGAAUUAUAAUGGACAUGGGAAUAUUUCCUGUUGCCACACCGUCCUUGGUGACCCCUGCAGAGAGGGGAGGGAAAUUGUGAGUGAAGCGAGAACUUCCAUUUUGAAUAAGGGAACUAAUUAAUGCCGGGCAGAAACUUGAUCAAUGUAAGGACUGUGGAUGGACCUUUAGGAGAUGUUCACAUCAGAAAACUUCUAGUGGAGAGAAGUCUCGGAGAUGGGAGGAAUCCACACGGGGAAGCUUCAGCCUGAAUUCAUACCUCCCUCCACAGCAGAGAACCCCUAGGAGAGAGAGGCCUUGUACACAAAUGGAACAUGGGAGCAAUCCUCACUCAACAUCAGGGACUUCACCCUGGCAAGAAACACGAAUGUGGGGAUUGUGGAAGGGCCUUCAGCCCCAGCAGGGCCUUUACAGAACAUCAGAAUAUUCACACUGCUGAGAACCUCGGUGGGUGUCCAGGGCCUUCAGCUUCAGCUGACGCAUUACUAACAUAAUUUAUGUGAGAGAGUGUUUGAAUGUGAGUGCUAUGGGGCCACAUUCUGUUGGUGCUCAUCCUUUACAUCCAAUCACGCACAAGAGAAUCAUGAGUAUAAUGAAUGUAGUCUUCAGCUAAAGAUCAGCCCUUAUUAAAUGCAAAAGAAUUCACAUUGAAGAGAAACCAUAUGUCUUUGUUCAUUACAUAGGCUGGCUAGGUGGCACAGUGUGCUGGGUUUGGAACAGGAAGAUCUGAGUUCAAAUCCAGCCUCAGACACUUAGCUACGGGACCCUGGGCAGGUCCCUUAACCUCUGUCUGCCUCACUUCCUCAACUGUAAAAUAGCAUUUACCUUGUAAGGUUGUUGAAUCAAAUGAGAUAUUUGUAAAGUGCUUAGCCCAGUGCCCAGCAUAUAGUAGGUGCUGUUUAAAUAAUUAUUCCUCCUCUCUGGGAGGAGGGAGGGCAAGAAAUACAGAGGGGAAUGUAGGCUAUAUUAAAGCAAAAUAUAUCUUUUUUUUUUUAAAGGAAAGAAACCAUAUGAAUGUAAGUAAGGUUGAAAGGCCUUCAGCUGGGCCUGGCCCUUGGACUCAUUAAAUCCACCUGAGGCAGAGGGCGUCAACAAGGGCUCAAACUUGAUUAAACCUGAAAGAAUUCCUUGAGAUUCUGGUCCUGGGGUGGGGUGCUGGCGGCCUCAAGGUUAUCUCCGGACUGGAUCGGCCUUUUGACUGAGUCCAGACUUCACAAAACAAAUCCUCCUGCCACUGCUCUGGGCCUUUCAUCUUCCAAAAGGCUUUUAUUCUUGUUUCCUCAUUUACAUAGAGUGUGCCCCUAGUCAUUGAUGAUGUCAGUCUUACAUGUGUCUUGGUAGGUUAACUCCCAGUACUAUAUGCACUUUGUAGUUAUGGUGAGAGGCUUUUGAGAGCACGGUGUGGAAGCUUCUGCAGUCUGCCACUUUCACAAAGCUGUUGGUCAUCUUGAUCAUUUUCUGUUUUCCAAGGAUGCCGUUGUGUCCUCUGCAAAGCCAACAUCUUACCCCACGUAUGAUAAUCGUGCAAUAAUAAGCUGAGAUGAACACAGGACCUAAGGAGAGAAGGUUACGACAAUUCCUUUUACGGCUCCAGCUAGUGGGAGAGUUCCUAAGGGGCGGGACAUAGAGAACAUCAUAAAAAGGCAAAAUAUAAAUUUUUAAUUGUAUGAAAUUUAAAAUCUUUUGCACAAACAAAAGUAAUACAGAUAGAAUACAAAGAGAAGCAGUCAAGUGGGAAAAAAAUCUUUCCAUGAAAUAUUGAUGCAAACAUUACACCAAGACUCAUUUCCUUAGUGGUCAAAGGACAUGAAUGAGCAGUGUCCCCAACCCCCCUCCCCAAUAAUUGCAAACCAUAAAGGGCCUUUUGGAAACAUGCUCCAAAUCACUUAUAAUAAUCAAAAAUUUCAAUAACUUUGAGAUUUCACCCCAGAUCCUACAAAUUGGCAGAACUGACAAAAAAGGGUAACAGUCAUCAUUGAGGGGCAUGUGGGAGGAGGCACACUAGGGAAGAGGAGUAAGGGGAGGGAAGGAACAAGCCUUAGUGAGCACCUUGCUUCACUCUGCAGCUGCUGCCUUGCCUUGGUUCAGCUCCCUGGAAGGAUGCCCGCCCGGCGUAAGCUCAUCACCUCCCGUCUCAUUGUCAUUCUGCUAACUCAAGCCUGGACUGACCCCACCUCUCUCAGCCUCCUCUCCCCUUGGACUGAAGGGCCGGGGCAGGGGGGAGUGGAGCACCAAACUCCUCCCAGUCCCUUUCUUUAUAGAGGGCAGAGCCUGGACUUGGGGCUCCGCCCUCUCUGCAUCUGCUGCUCUGCCUGGCUUCAGCUCUGAGGAAGAAGAUGCCCCUGUGCUGGGCAUCCCCUGACUCCCCCGCCCACUUUCCUGCCUCCUUUGUGCAUCCUCUCCCCUUUAGAUUAUGGGCUCCUUGAGGGCAGGGACUGUCUUUUUAUCGUCAUUUGUCCUUCGUUUUCUAAGAGGACCACCCAAGUCCUGGAGUAAGUCUUGACUUGCGCUUGUGUGUGAAUUGGAUUUAAGUGAGGCAGAGCCGCACAGUGUCGUCAGCCUCACUCUUGCUGAGUCAUCAAAGGCCGGGGCAAGACGGAAGUCAAGACGACUGGAGAUGGCCCGGGAUGCAAUGGAUGGCCUUGGCCUCUUUGAUGCCUGACCGGGCUCUAAGCACUCUCCAGCGCCCGCUCCAGCCGCCUUCACGGCCAUCGGAGCAAGUUGUUCUCAUCAGUCUCUUCCGCCGGGGGAAGUCUGCCCACGUUUGGGAGGGAAACCCCCCUACCUCGCUGGUGGGCUUAAGGCCCGUUGGUUACCCUCAACCUGGCUCAGCCCUCUGCUGAGCCAUCUUCACUGGGAUAUGGCCAACGCACAAGCUACAGCUUCUCGGAGCCAUGUGUGAGAGUCGGGUGGACCGGGUGGACCCCGGAGGUGGAUGAGCAGCCCUGAGGAGGGCUUGGCGAGCCCUCACAUCUGAGGCGCUAGGCCUCCUGAACAGCCCAUCUUUUCAUUAAUCGCACCCUCAGGCCUAGCACAGUGCCUGGCACAUAGUAGGUGCUUUAUUGGGCUACAUUGCAUUGGACGUUGAGAAAAAGACAAGGCUUCAGUGAGAACAGCCACGGGGAACUAGCCUGAGGUCCAUUUUUGACAGGGUUACUGAACUGCUAGAAGAAGGAAGAACCCAAAGUAUAUGUGGCUCACAAACAUGGUUUUCUUUUUUCUUUCAUGCAAAACAAUUGAUCACUCAAUACUUGUACUGAUUUGAUUACAAAAGACUCCUUAAAGAAAUAAAGAACCUCUUAAGUGGAGGAAUCUUCA